CGAGCGAGCUUGCCUAGAUGAGUUUGGUGCUUGCACCAGAUGAAACUAGAUACAAGCGAGCGGCGGACGGGUGAGUAACACGUGGGUAACCUGCCCAAGAGACUGGGAUAACACCUGGAAACAGAUGCUAAUACCGGAUAACAACACUAGACGCAUGUCUAGAGCUUAAAAGAUGGUUCUGCUAUCACUCUUGGAUGGACCUGCGGUGCAUUAGCUAGUUGGUAAGGUAACGGCUUACCAAGGCAAUGAUGCAUAGCCGAGUUGAGAGACUGAUCGGCCACAUUGGGACUGAGACACGGCCCAAACUCCUACGGGAGGCAGCAGUAGGGAAUCUUCCACAAUGGACGCAAGUCUGAUGGAGCAACGCCGCGUGAGUGAAGAAGGGUUUCGGCUCGUAAAGCUCUGUUGGUAGUGAAGAAAGAUAGAGGUAGUAACUGGCCUUUAUUUGACGGUAAUUACUUAGAAAGUCACGGCUAACUACGUGCCAGCAGCCGCGGUAAUACGUAGGUGGCAAGCGUUGUCCGGAUUUAUUGGGCGUAAAGCGAGUGCAGGCGGUUCAAUAAGUCUGAUGUGAAAGCCUUCGGCUCAACCGGAGAAUUGCAUCAGAAACUGUUGAACUUGAGUGCAGAAGAGGAGAGUGGAACUCCAUGUGUAGCGGUGGAAUGCGUAGAUAUAUGGAAGAACACCAGUGGCGAAGGCGGCUCUCUGGUCUGCAACUGACGCUGAGGCUCGAAAGCAUGGGUAGCGAACAGGAUUUAGAUACCCUGGUAGUCCAUGCCGUAAACGAUGAGUGCU
rnacentral:rRNA from 1 species